GACGAACGCUGGCGGCGUGCCUAAUACAUGCAAGUUGAGCGCUGAAGGUUGGUACUUGUACCAACUGGAUGAGCAGCGAACGGGUGAGUAACGCGUGGGGAAUCUGCCUUUGAGCGGGGGACAACAUUUGGAAACGAAUGCUAAUACCGCAUAAAAACUUUAAACACAAGUUUUAAGUUUGAAAGAUGCAAUUGCAUCACUCAAAGAUGAUCCCGCGUUGUAUUAGCUAGUUGGAGAGGUAAAGGCUCACCAAGGCGAUGAUACAUAGCCGACCUGAGAGGGUGAUCGGCCACAUUGGGACUGAGACACGGCCCAAACUCCUACGGGAGGCAGCAGUAGGGAAUCUUCGGCAAUGGACGAAAGGCUGACCGAGCAACGCCGCGUGAGUGAAGAAGGUUUUCGGAUCGUAAAACUCUGUUGGUAGAGAAGAACGUUGGUGGGAGUGGAAAGCUCAUCAAGUGACGGUAACUACCCAGAAAGGGACGGCUAACUACGUG
rnacentral:rRNA from 1 species